AGGCGCUAAAAAAUUAAUUCUAAAAGUAAAAAGAAAAAAACUAAUUCUCAAAAUAGAAGUUUGUCCUAAAAGUUGCCCUAUUCUCUUUAGAUCACCACUACAAUUGAGAAUGAAUGAAACCCAGCUGCCCUAGCUAAUCUCAGCGAUGCUUUGCCCCUUGAAUGGAUAGAUGUGUAUUCUUCUUUGUGCUAUUGUUGUCUCCCCUAAUCUCAACGACAUUCUUCCAUUAAAUUGGUAAAGGUGUGUUCAUUCUUCUGAUUGAGUUGUUGCUGCGCUGUUCGAAAUAUAAUCCAACACAACUUUGCUUGGGACAAUAUUUCAGCAUAUAUAAUAUGAGUAACUCUGAUCGUGAGUGGAUGUAUGUUAGAAUACUGGAAGAUGGAUUCAUAAAUCCAAAGUUUAUUGAUGGAGUUGAGAACUUUGUUGCAUUUGCAAAAAAACAUCCACAGUGCAUGGAUGGUGAGAAGUUAAGAUGUCCUUGUAAUCAUCGUAAGUGUCGAAACAAAAAUAUUUUGGAC